rnacentral:rRNA from 1 species
UACGUAGGGUGCGAGCGUUGUCCGGAAUUAUUGGGCGUAAAGAGCUUGUAGGCGGUCUGUCGCGUCUGCUGUGAAAAUCCGGGGCUCAACCCCGGACUUGCAGUGGGUACGGGCAGACUAGAGUGUGGUAGGGGAGACUGGAAUUCCUGGUGUAGCGGUGAAAUGCGCAGAUAUCAGGAGGAACACCGAUGGCGAAGGCAGGUCUCUGGGCCGAUACUGACGCUGAGGAGCGGAAAGCGUGGGGAGCGAACAGG